rnacentral:rRNA from 1 species
AGAGUUUGAUCCUGGCUCAGGACGAACGCUGGCGGCGUGCCUAAUACAUGCAAGUAGAACGCUGAAGGAGGAGCUUGCUUCUCUGGAUGAGUUGCGAACGGGUGAGUAACGCGUAGGUAACCUGCCUGGUAGCGGGGGAUAACUAUUGGAAACGAUAGCUAAUACCGCAUAAGAGUGGAUGUUGCAUGACAUUUGCUUAAAAGGUGCACUUGCAUCACUACCAGAUGGACCUGCGUUGUAUUAGCUAGUUGGUGGGGUAACGGCUCACCAAGGCGACGAUACAUAGCCGACCUGAGAGGGUGAUCGGCCACACUGGGACUGAGACACGGCCCAGACUCCUACGGGAGGCAGCAGUAGGGAAUCUUCGGCAAUGGACGGAAGUCUGACCGAGCAACGCCGCGUGAGUGAAGAAGGUUUUCGGAUCGUAAAGCUCUGUUGUAAGAGAAGAAUGAGUGUGAGAGUGGAAAGUUCACACUGUGACGGUAUCUUACCAGAAAGGGACGGCUAACUACGUGCCAGCAGCCGCGGUAAUACGUAGGUCCCGAGCGUUGUCCGGAUUUAUUGGGCGUAAAGCGAGCGCAGGCGGUUAGAUAAGUCUGAAGUUAAAGGCUGUGGCUUAACCAUAGUAGGCUUUGGAAACUGUUUAACUUGAGUGCAAGAGGGGAGAGUGGAAUUCCAUGUGUAGCGGUGAAAUGCGUAGAUAUAUGGAGGAACACCGGUGGCGAAAGCGGCUCUCUGGCUUGUAACUGACGCUGAGGCUCGAAAGCGUGGGGAGCAAACAGGAUUAGAUACCCUGGUAGUCCACGCUGUAAACGAUGAGUGCUAGGUGUUAGACCCUUUCCGGGGUUUAGUGCCGUAGCUAACGCAUUAAGCACUCCGCCUGGGGAGUACGACCGCAAGGUUGAAACUCAAAGGAAUUGACGGGGGCCCGCACAAGCGGGGGGGCAUGUGGUUUAAUUCGAAGCAACGCGAAGAACCUUACCAGGUCUUGACAUCCCUCUGACCGCUCUAGAGAUAGAGCUUUCCUUCGGGACAGAGGUGACAGGUGGUGCAUGGUUGUCGUCAGCUCGUGUCGUGAGAUGUUGGGUUAAGUCCCGCAACGAGCGCAACCCCUAUUGUUAGUUGCCAUCAUUUAGUUGGGCACUCUAGCGAGACUGCCGGUAAUAAACCGGAGGAAGGUGGGGAUGACGUCAAAUCAUCAUGCCCCUUAUGACCUGGGCUACACACGUGCUACAAUGGCUGGUACAACGAGUCGCAAGCCGGUGACGGCAAGCUAAUCUCUUAAAGCCAGUCUCAGUUCGGAUUGUAGGCUGCAACUCGCCUACAUGAAGUCGGAAUCGCUAGUAAUCGCGGAUCAGCACGCCGCGGUGAAUACGUUCCCGGGCCUUGUACACACCGCCCGUCACACCACGAGAGUUUGUAACACCCGAAGUCGGUGAGGUAACCGUAAGGAGCCGCCGCCUAAGGUGGGAUAGAUGAUUGGGGUGAAGUCGUAACAAGGUAGCCGUAUCGGAAGGUGCGGCUGGAUCACCU